rnacentral:rRNA from 1 species
CUACACACGUGCUACAAUGGGCGAGUACAAAGGGUAGCAAGCCUGCGAAGGUGAGUCAAAUCCCAAAAAGACUGUUCGUAGUUCGGAUUGGAGUCUGCAACUCGACUCCAUGAAGCUGGAAUCGCUAGUAAUCGCGGAUCAGCAUGCCGCGGUCGAAUACGUUCCGGCCUU